GAUGAACGCUGGCGGCGUGCCUAAUACAUGCAAGUCGAGCGAAUGGAUUAAGAGCUUGCUCUUAUGAAGUUAGCGGCGGACGGGUGAGUAACACGUGGGUAACCUGCCCAUAAGACUGGGAUAACUCCGGGAAACCGGGGCUAAUACCGGAUAACAUUUUGAACCGCAUGGUUCGAAAUUGAAAGGCGGCUUCGGCUGACACUUAUGGAUGGACCCGCGUCGCAUUAGCUAGUUGGUGGGGUAACGGCUCACCAAGGAAACGAUGAGUAGCCGACCUGGGAGGGUGGUCGGCCACACUGGGACUGAGACACGGCCCAGACUCCUACGGGAGGCAGCAGGAGGGAAUCUUCCGCAAUGGACGAAAGUCUGACGGAGCAACGCCGCGUGAGUGAUGAAGGCUUUCGGGUCGUAAAACUCUGUUGUUAGGGAAGAACAAGUGCUAGUUGAAUAAGCUGGCACCUUGACGGUACCUAACCAGAAAGCCACGGCUAACUACGUGCCAGCCGCCGCGGUAA
rnacentral:rRNA from 1 species